rnacentral:lncRNA from 1 species
GCGGUGGCGGCGGACAUGUCCGGCCGGUGGUGGGGAGUUUUGUCCGACGGCGCGAGGAGCGGGGCUAGGGUUUCAUCUGCGUGAAAAAAUUGGGAGGCACACAUAUAUAUAGGUAGAGGGAGCUAGGAGAGUCCAAAUGAGGUGCGGUUUGCGGCCACGCGAUCGUGAUCGAACGACCGAGAUGAUGGAGGAGGUUUAGAUGGGUUUUGGGCCACUUUGGAGGGGUGUUGGGCUGCAACACACACGAGGCCUUUUCGGUCCCUCGGUUAACCGUUGGAGUAUCAAACGAAGUCCAAAUGGCACGAAACUUGACAGGCGGUCUACCGGUAGUAAACCAAGGCCGCAUGACAAGUCUCGGUCCAAUCCGAAAACGUUUAACACCCGGACACGAAAAGAGGUAGAAAGGACCACUGGAGGACAUAGGAGCACCGGAUUGCAAAGCGGAUAACGGGGAAAAUGCUCAGAUGCAUGAGACGAACAUGAAUGCAAAUGAAAUGCACAUGAUGAGAUGAUAUGCAAAGCGUGACACGCAAUCAAUGACAAGGCAACAACAGAGAAUAACUGAAGGACACCUUGCACAUCGGUCUCGGGGCGUUACAACACUCCACCACUACAAAAGGAUCUCGUCGCGAGAUCUUGAAUGGCACCGGAGGGAAAAUGGAAGAGAAAGAGAAGAGGUAAAACUAAGUUGCUUCUUUGACAAACGAGUGAAACCAAAGAACCUUGCAAUGGUUAAGCCAUUUCGAGAAAAGAAUACAACGGAGAUGAACAAAGUUGAAAGUACUCCGUUAGGAAAGAGGAACAAGGAAGAACCGAUUCGGGUAGCACUUCGGUUGAAAAGAGAUGAAAGACUUGAUAAAAUGAAAGAGCUUGAGCAAAAGGACACAACCAUCCGGUUAAAUGGAUAAACCAAGAAAAGAACACGAUCCUGACAAAACGAAAAGAUGGGUUGAAGAGAGCAACAUCACAAAGCCUUCGGAACAAAAGUAAGAAUGGAAUGGAAUGAACGACGAGAAACAAGAUCUUGAGGGAGCACGCUUACAACAAAUGCUAGAACGGAGUUGUUGGAAAACCAACAACGAAAAAACAAGGUUUUAGUGGGCUUAUGGAGCACAUCUCAAAAUUACGAGAUGAAAUUCUGCCACUAACGAAAACAAUAGAUUGGAUUGAUAUAAACAAGGAGACGAGAAACUAUUUCACCGAGAGGGUAAAAGAAGAACUUGGGUCAAACAUAAGCUCCAUAAAUAGCAAGAAUCCUUAGGGAAAGCUUUAGGUGAAAUAUAAACCAAGAUAACUCAAAUGAGGAGAUUGAUGGGUUUAAAUACCUCAUUCUUAACAACAUGUGAAUCAUGAAACAUGAACUCAAAUUAUCAAGAAUGACAUAAUACCACCUCCAAUGAUACGGAAGAAAGAAUUGCACUCUGGAUAGCAAGAUGGAGAAUGCUUGAGCUCCUCUGAAUAGAAUCUUGAUGAACACUUUGAGAAGGAAUUAAAACCUUUAUGAACCAACAUGUAGAGCCUCCAUGAAGAACUCUGGUAAACAAAAGGAUAAUGAAAAGAAAGAGAAGUUGAAAACACAAGGUGAAACCUUGCAAUGAUUUGAUGGAUCUUUGGAAUGAUAUAAUUGAAAUAACUUUGAGCUCCGGAAAAGAAAGAUGGACAACUUGAAUCGAGAAUUUGAUGAACCUCCGGAAUAAGGAAUUAAUCACUUGGGUGAAACAAGAGUAAGAAUUAUGUUAUGCGUAUCCUUCACCAAUUAAAUUGAUGAACAUCAACGGAUUUGACAUAUUACUUAUUCUCGUAGAAAGGAUUAAGAUAGAUAUAGCGUCAACUUGGAAGGUCUUCAAUGAACCACCGGUAGGAUUAGGAAACAAUGAAUGAAUUGGUAUGAUAAGGAAGGAAGAGAAAUCUUAAAUGAACCACUGUAAGGAUUGAAAAUGAACGAAGAUAACAUAAAGAAACACCGGGAAGAAUUAGCAAAUGAGCGAAGAUGCUUGAGAGAAUUUAGAUACAUGAGAACGAAGAGAUCAAGAGCUGGUAAUAGAAUACUUGAAUGAUGCACCGGUAAGAUUUAGAGAAAGAGAGUUGAAAGUUGAGAAUUAAUAAAUCUGAGAUGAUGGACUCCAGAUGAUCAAACUGAAAAGACUCCUGAAUUGCUCUGGAUAGGUGAAAAGAAUUUUCGCGAUCAAAACAAUUACGAGAGGAUGGCCUUGAACUAGAACCACGAAUCUCUGAGAGAACGGAUAAGAUAUGGAUGUAAACUCUUCUUCGAUCUUCAAAAUCCGAGAAAAACUACGAGAAACACCACCAAAUUGUUGAGGCACUCCGGGAUGAAGAAUAGAAAGGUUGGUCCAACGAUGAAAAGAGUUUGGAAGAUCUUGGAGAAGGCAUUUGGCUGAUGAUAAUUCAUUCUUACGUCAAACUUGGAAAAGAAUUUCAGAGUAACUCCGGGAAGAUUAGAAGAGUCAGGUAAGAUCCUGGAAAAAGACCUGUGGGUUAGGGCCCACUCAAAAGAAACACCGUUGAAAUGAUUUAUAAGAGAGGUUGCACUGAUUGAAUUAAAUGAGUUGAGUGAGAUAACAACCUCGAAAGAUCUUGAACGAAUGUAGAGUGGAAAACACGAAUCUUCGAGAUAUCUUGAGCACUCCGGAACAAAUGGAUAGCGAGAGGUGAAUAAUUAAGAAGUGAACCGGCAAGAGAAAACAUUUGGAACGAGGAAAAGAUAUGAUCGACAAGGCUUGACUUGAAUCCACUGGAGAAGAAAAAGAACGAAUAAUGAUGAACUAGAAGCUCCAUUAGAAUCUUCAUGAGAAAACACCGGGUAAGAACAUUGAAAGGAAAGAAAGAAGAGACUUCACAACAAUAAAAUGAUACUUGAUUGAGAUAUAUGAGUCCUUCAAGUCAAGCAAGGGUGGGAGGGUGGGAAAACAAAGGCAACUUGGGAUGGAUGAAACAAACAACAUUAAGAGCUUAGAUUGAAUCUUGCGGAUGUUGAAAAUGGAGGGAUCCGCUUGAAGAGAAGCACACCGGUUGAAAAGAAAUUGAAAUGACAAACUCGAUGAUCGAGAAGGAUUAGUAUUCACAUAGAAAUAUGAGAACACCGCUUAGGAAAGGUAUGGAAUCAACACUUGACUUCGAAGCAACUCGAAUACCACAACUCGAAACAAAGGAUUGGCUCGCUGAAUAAGCCAGAACAAACAUAUGACAGAGAUUUCGUCCGAAGUUUUCGUGGUGGGGCCUACACGGGCUCGAUCGUACAACACCAUCAUGUACAAGGCAGUGCACAUGACAUACGAAGCGUCCCCGAGUCGGCAUAGCCAAGGACUCUUUAAGACACAACGAGACCACUGUAAAACCAACCGUGGAUAGGCAGACCACUAGACGUCGAACCCCAAUAUCAUAUCAUACAUUUGUCGGGAAGAUAUCCUAGGAGCUACUUGAAUUCCCACUUAUAAACUCCCGAAACUUCCCGGUUAUGCAAUCAGGUGUUGGGGAUACAGGGGAAGCAUAAUAUCUCACCCAAACUAGCAAAUCCUACAUCCAGCUGUAUCCAUCCUUCAACACAUAACCAAGAAACCUUCAGAAAUCGUCUACCUCAACCUUCAAAAAGCAUCCAUUAUACGAGUUAUGGCAAUACUCCCGAACUCCCGCCCCAGUACUGGGUGGCGUCGAGGUUAUCUCACCAACAACUGCAUAAAAGAGAUUUUUGAUGUCGGCGAAACUAAUCUCAGGUAUUCCAGAACUGCAACGAUAAAAUUGUGACAACAACACCUCGGAGCUCAACUCCCCGGGACACGGCACAACCCCUAAAUGUCAGGAGGCACCAAGAACAAUGUUCUCGUCACAAAACCAUCGGAACAAUUCCAAGAUACCCGCAUGAUCCUAAUUUUUUUUAGUGAAAUUUGAGAAGAGAAGAGUCAAAACUCUACGUCAGGAUGCCUCACCAGAGCGAUGAAGGGACUGGGGAGUAAAAAGAAUUCCUAACUCUCUGAUAUAUAUAAUCCUAAAUGACUCAAAACAUUUUUCUAGACUCAACAACGCCAACGAUUCGAUCAAGCAGGGGGCUCCUAAGGUCGGGGAUGGCUCUGAUACCAACUUGUAACGCCCUCGAUGCGACUAUAUCUCCCACGUGUCGAAGCACGACUUAGAGGCAUAACCGCAUUGAAAGCAAUGUCGCAAGUGAGGUAAUCUUCACACAACCCAUGUAAUACAUACGGGAAAGAGAUACAACGUUGGCUUACAAUCUCCACUUCACACAAUUACAUGAAUAAAGCAUUACAUGAACCAGAUACAAUCAAGGUCCGAUUACGAAACCAAAAUAAAAGAAGACUACCACAAAAGCUACGCAGAUCCCCGAUCGUCCCGACCGGGCUCCACUUCUGAUCAACUAGAACGAAGCAACACAAAAGACAAGAUCUUCAUCGAGCUCCUCCUUGAGCUUGGUUGCGUCACCUGCUCGGUAACAUCGGCACCUGCAAACUGGUUUUGGAAGUAUCUGUGAGUCACGGGGACUCAGCAAUCUCACACCCUCGCGAUCAAGACUAUUUAAGCUCAUAUGUAAGGUAAAAGGUAUGAGGUGGAGCUGCAGCAAGCGACUAGCAUAUAUGGUGGCUAACAUACGCAAAAGAGAGUGAGAAGAGAAGGCAAGGCACGAUCGAGAAACUAUGAUCAGGAAGUGAUCCUAGAACAACCUACGUCAAGCAUUACUCCAACACCGUGUUCACUUCCCGGACCCUGCUGAGAAGAGACCAUCACGGUUACACACACGGUUGAUGCAUUUUAAUUAAGAUCAACUUCAGGUUUUCUACAACCGGACAUUAACAAAUUCCCAUCUGCCCAUAACCGCGGGCACGGCUUUCGAAAGUUCAUAACACUGCAGGGGUGUCCCAACUUAGCCCAUCACAAGCUCUCAUGGUCAACGAAGGAUAUUCCUUCUCCCGAGACAUUCUGAUCAGACUCGGCAUCCCGAUUACAAGACAUCCUCGACAAUGGUAAAACAAGUCCAGCAACACCACCCGAAUGUGCCGACAAAUCCCGAUAGGAGCUGCACAUAUCUCGUUCUCAGGGCACACUCAGAUGAGCUCUCCAUACAACUAACAUCAAACCUCGAGUUUCCNNNNNNNNNNNNNNNNNNNNNNNNNNNNNNNNNNNNNNNNNNNNNNNNNNNNNNNNNNNNNNNNNNNNNNNNNNNNNNNNNNNNNNNNNNNNNNNNNNNNNNNNNNNNNNNNNNNNNNNNNNNNNNNNNNNNNNNNNNNNNNNNNNNNNNNNNNNNNNNNNNNNNNNNNNNNNNNNNNNNNNNNNNNNNNNNNNNNNNNNNNNNNNNNNNNNNNNNNNNNNNNNNNNNNNNNNNNNNNNNNNNNNNNNNNNNNCCUGGGCAGGCCUACCCAAGGGAAAGAAAAGGCUAGGUGGCGAAUGGUAAAACCAAUGUUGGGCAUUGCUGGAGGAGUUUUAUUCGAGGUGAACUGUCAAGGGGUUCCCAUUAUAACCCAACCGCGUAAGGAACGCAAAAUCCGGGAACAUAACACCGAUAUGACAGAAACUAGGGCGGCAAGAGUGGAACAAAACACCAGGCAUAAGGCUGAGCCUUCCACCCUUUACCAAGUAUAUAGAUGCAUUAAUUAAAUAAGAGAUAUUGUGAUAUCCCAACAAAAUAUCCAUGUUCCCACAUGGAACAAGCUCCAAUCUUCAUCUGCAACUAACAACGCUAUAAGAGGGGCUGAGCAAAGCGGUAACAUAGCCAAAACAACGGUUUGCUAGGACAAGGUGGGUUAGAGGCUUGGUUCAACAAUAUAGGAGGCAUGAUUAGCAAGUGGUAGGUAUCGCAGUAUAGGCAUAGCAAAAGAGCGAGCAACUAGCAAGCAAAGAUAGAAGUGAUUUCGAGGGUAUGGUCAUCUUGCCUGAAAUCUCGCAAGGAAAAAGAACGAGUCCAUGAAGAAGACAAACGGACGUAGUCGAACGGGUCCUCAAAAACGUGACGUUAACGGAACCAACCCGAAGAAGCUACACCGGAAAAAAGCACACAACAUAGUAAACAACCAACACAUGAACAUGAUAUGAUAUGUGGGAUGCAGUAUGCGGUGCAUAUGCAUGAUUUGACAAGGAAUUAUUGAACCUGGCCUCAACUUGGAAAUCCAAGAGUGCCACUGGAAAGGUGAGGUGAUUUCGGUUGAAAUCAAUAAUAAAGAUCACCGGAAUCGGAUGCACGGUUUGGAAAUGGCAAGCAAAACAAAUAUGGCACCGGUCUGCGAUUAACAGCAAGUGACCAUCUAAAUGCAACAAGAUAAAUAUGCUACAACACUCAAACAUGGCAACAAAAUACAUGGCAGGGAUCCACUCAUGAUGCUUAACAAAAGAUGAACACUGAGCUACAGCUAAUUCACUCAAUAACAGGUUCAAACAAGCAUGGCAGAAGUGCAAAAGAUAACAGGUUUCAGACUUAGUGAAAUUAACACAUGUCUGGAAUUUAUCAUCAGGUAGCAAUCUUUAGAGCAUGAAAACUACAUGCUACAGGAACAUAACAUGGCAAAGCAAGGCAUGAAAUGAAGCUACUCAAAGCACUUAACAAAAGUCCCUUAGUGACCUUGAGCCAAAAGGGAUCAGAAAAUAGAAUUGCAAGCAUGUGAACAUGGCAAAAACAUAAACAGAUUCAGACUUAGUGAAAAACUGGAGCAUACAAAACAGUUAACGAGUAGACAUGUUUACGAGCUCGAUGCACUCACUACAGAGCAUUGCAUGACAAACUAAGCAUACACCCAUGAAGAAGACAUGGCAUAGAAACUAGACAUGGCAAGAACAACAACAUAGCAUGCACGGAUCAACAACAACAGCCUCGGCAAAAUCGCUAAACAUGUCAAUGAUCUGCCAGGAACAUUUUAUAGCAAAAGUAGAGCUCGAUUGGCUCAAGCUAGGGUGCUCCAUAAUUGCAAACAAAGACAUGGAUAGAUAUAGCACAACAAUAUUAACAAAACAUCCAUACUGAUCAUCCUCAAAAGAGGCAUGGAUCACUAGAAAACAACAUGAACAUAUGGCAUAACAACAAAAUCAGGACAAGGACUUAGAGAAAUUCUAAGUCCCUGAAAUCAGCAUUACCGAUUACGCUACUUUGCAUGCUCGUGCUAGUCACCACAAAUAUCAUGAAAAUACAUGGCAUACACCCCUGUAAAGAUGGCAUGGCAUAUUACAAAACACAUGUAGAGCUCAGGAUCAUAGCAUGCACACAUUAAUUAUGGCAAAAAUGACAAAAUGGCAUUUGCUGAAACAGAUCUGACAAAAUCCUCACAUAGCCCUCUUCCAACGACAUUUCGGGCAUCAAGAUGAGCUCAAAUGAAAAUGAUGCAAUGAGAUCGAAUGAUGUACUCGUCGAGACGAACAUUUUGAUAUGCUACACGCACGAAUUGGAGCCACGGUGAGGGAGUUAUGAUGCAAUGAAAAAUGCCAAAAAGAUUAGGGUUCGGAGGGAAAAGUCAACCGAGUGGAAUCUCCAGAUCCAGAUCUGGAUCGCACGCGGACCGAUGUGCUCGCCGAGAAGUCGCCGAAAACGAAGAUGGUGGUGGUCGGAGCUGCACCAGCUCGCCGGAGAGGAGGGCUCGCCGGCCGGAGCUCACGCCGGAGCUCGCGGGAGAGGAGGCCGGAGUGGAGGCGCGGUGGAGGAGGAGGCCCGCGGCGGUGGGGCGCCUGGCGGCGGUGGCGGGGCCACGCCGGCAAAGGGCGGCGCCGGCGGGAAGGAGGCGAGGCGCGGUGGCGAUAGCCGGAGGCGGCGAGGCAUGCCGGCGAGCAGCGGUGGCCGGCGGGAGAGGAGUCGUGGCGCGACGCUCUCCUCGGGUGGCGGCGGCGAUGUUUGGGCCCCGCGGGCCGGCGGCGGGGCUGAGGAGAGAGAGGCGGCGGUGGGAUAGGUGGCGAUCUCCGAUUCGCCCGGGGCGGCGGCGCGGUGACAUGGCGUGCUCCGAUAGGCCGGAGUGAGGUGGCGGUGGCGGCGGAUAUGUCCGGCCGGUGGUGGGGAGUUUUGUCCGGCGGCGCGAGGAGCGGGGCUAGGGUUUCAUCUGCGCGAAAAAUUCGGGAGGCACACAUAUAUAUAGGUAGAGGGAGCUAGGAGAGUCCAAAUGAGGUGUGGUUUGCGGCCACGCGAUUAUGAUCAAACGACCGAGAUGAUGGAGGAGGUUUAGGUGGGUUUUGGGCCACUUUGGAGGGGUGUUGGGCUGCAACACACACGAGGCCUUUU